AAAUUAUUGAGUUUUGAAACUCAGAAAUGUAGAAGUUUUUCUAGAAAAUUUCUGCAAUUAAUAGCGUAUUGUGACGGAGGAGCCGUCACGAGCUGGGACUUAGAGUCCGUGUCAGAAUACGCGCACACAUGGUGUCAGGAGUGGGAUUAUGGCAAGCCGGAGAAGAGGAUCUCGUUUGGUGAAGCAAAGAUCUGGUCUUCGAUCACAAUCAAAGAUGGAAGAACAGACGGCGAGGCAGAAUGACGUCACAGAGAUACAGAGUUUAAUUCAAUAGAAAACACCGUAUGAAUUUAACAAGAAACCUCAGAGUAUCCAGAAGCACAUUCUUUACCUGAGACAAAAGAAUUAAAAGAAACAAAGGCGCCUUUGGAGACAGCUGAUGCUUAAAAGCAAAACAGGGCAGUUGUCUGAAUUCUUAUUAUUGAGCAUUCCCUUUUCUAGUGAAGGCGUUUCUCUUUGUUAAUAUAUGCAAAUAGGGCGUACCUCUGUUUUGACCAACCAA